UACGAAGGGGGCUAGCGUUGUUCGGAAUUACUGGGCGUAAAGCGUGCGUAGGUGGUUCGUUAAGUCUGAUGUGAAAGCCCUGGGCUCAACCUGGGAAUGGCAUUGGAAACUGGCGACCUAGAGUGCGGUAGAGGGUAGUGGAAUUCCCGGUGUAGCAGUGAAAUGCGUAGAGAUCGGGAGGAACAUCUGUGGCGAAGGCGACUGCCUGGACCAGCACUGACACUGAGGCACGAAAGCGUGGGGAGCAAACAGG
rnacentral:rRNA from 1 species